rnacentral:rRNA from 1 species
ACGCUGGCGGCGUGCCUAAUACAUGCAAGUCGAGCGAAGCAUUUAUUGGAAGCCCUUCGGGGUUGAAGGUAAUGACUUAGCGGCGAACGGGUGAGUAACGCGUGAGUAACCUGCCCUUCAGACGGGGAUAACAGCUCGAAAGGGCUGCUAAUACCGGAUACGUCUACAUUAUCGCCUGUUAAUGUAGAGAAAGUGUUAGCGCUGAAGGAUGGACUCGCGUCCCAUUAGCUAGUUGGUGAGGUAACGGCCCACCAAGGCGACGAUGGGUAGCCGGCCUGAGAGGGUGACCGGCCACACUGGGACUGAGACACGGCCCAGACUCCUACGGGAGGCAGCAGUAGGGAAUCUUGCGCAAUGGGGGGAACCCUGACGCAGCGACGCCGCGUGAGCGAUGAAGGCCUUCGGGUCGUAAAGCUCUGUCCUAUGGGAAGAUAAUGACGGUACCAUAGGAGGAAGCCCCGGCUAACUACGUGCCAGCAGCCGCGGUAAUACGUAGGGGGCGAGCGUUGUCCGGAAUUACUGGGCGUAAAGGGUGCGUAGGCGGC